GAUGAACGCUAGCGGGAGGCCUAACACAUGCAAGCCGAGCGGUAUUGUUUCUUCGGAAAUGAGAGAGCGGCGUACGGGUGCGUAACACGUGUGCAACCUGCCUUUAUCUGGGGGAUAGCCUUUCGAAAGGAAGAUUAAUACUCCAUAAUAUAUUGAACGGCAUCGUUUAAUAUUGAAAGCUCCGGCGGAUAGAGAUGGGCACGCGCAAGAUUAGCUAGUUGGUGAGGUAACGGCUCACCAAGGCGAUGAUCUUUAGGGGGCCUGAGAGGGUGAUCCCCCACACUGGUACUGAGGCACGGACCAGACUCCUACGGGAGGCAGCAGUGAGGAAUAUUGGUCAAUGGGUGCAAGCCUGAACCAGCCAUCCCGCGUGAAGGACGACUGCCCUAUGGGUUGUAAACUUCUUUUGUAUAGGGAUAAACCUACCCUCGAGAGGGUAGCUGAAGGUACUAUACGAAUAAGCACCGGCUAACUCCGUG
rnacentral:rRNA from 1 species